rnacentral:rRNA from 1 species
GAUGAACGCUGGCGGCGUGCCUAAUACAUGCAAGUCGAGCGAACAGACGAGGAGCUUGCUCCUCUGACGUUAGCGGCGGACGGGUGAGUAACACGUGGAUAACCUACCUAUAAGACUGGGAUAACUUCGGGAAACCGGAGCUAAUACCGGAUAACAUGUUGAACCGCAUGGUUCAACAGUGAAAGACGGUCUUGCUGUCACUUAUAGAUGGAUCCGCGCCGCAUUAGAUAGUUGGUAAGGUAACGGCUUACCAAGGCAACGAUGCGUAGCCGACCUGAGAGGAUGACCCGCCACACUGGAACUGAGACACGGUCCAGACUCCUACGGGAGGCAGCAGUAGGGAAUAUUCGGCAAUGUGCGCAAUCCUGAUCCAGCUAUACCGCGUGGGUGAAGAAGGUCUUCGUAUUUUAAAGCCCUUUUAUUGGGAAAGAACAGCAGCAGGUUUAUACCCCCCCGUCCUGACGGUACCCAAUCAAUAAGCCCCGGCUAACUUCGUG